UCACGCGCAGACAUUUACGUCAUCAUAACACAUUUGCUCUGUCUCCACCGAGGACCUGACUCCUCUUAAGAAAUGGACCUGACUCCUCUUAAGAAAUCAUUUCUAUAUGCAAGAGAAAGAGGUUGCCACGGUGCGGUAACCAACCAGUUUCCCACCAAACUAGUGCCACCAUCAACGUGUUGUAGCAAGCAGUGAGUGGGAGUGGACAACCAAGCUAAUGAUUUGCUGAAUGAACACACUUUAAUCUUCGGUGAGAGAGUGACGAGGAAGAGGGGACCUGCUCCGUCCUGGGUGGAUGACAAAAAAUAUCUUCAGUUGAAUUGCACCCUGCAGUCGAAGAGUCCAUUACGCACGUAUUUGAAGCUACAUGUUCAUCCACGCAGUCCGCAAUUUGCUCAAUCCGCAUUGGCAACAGUUUAUUGUUAAUUUUAAUCCCCAUUAGCAUCUGCAGCGUACUGUCUCGGCCGCUCUUCUCGGGGUAAUUUAAAAUUUUUGUUACAGUUCAAAAUUAUAUUCACAAUCAUUCAACUGAAAACAGUUCACCGGAAAUCCCACUCUCCCCUUUAGCUAAAAUAGCAACACUAAUGGCAUGCAUAUUGUUUCAGUAAUUCCUGCCCCAAAAAUUUGAAAUAAAAAAAAUUACAAAUAACACACAGUUGAACAAAUGUCUCUGAGGCCUUCGUCCACGCGCCGUAACACAAAGAAGCAUUUUGCUCGUGGUCUUUUUUUAGGUCCAAAGUGAGAGGAUUGUGGGCAGGGCUUGCAGCAGUGUGGGUGGGGGUCAUUUAAAUGGACACGGGGCAGGGGAUGAUCUUAUCCUCCAGCAUGACACUGACCACCAGGAAGACAAAGUACAGCAUGAACAUAAUGAAGCCCAACAGUUUGCUCAUGCGCCACUUGCACGCGGCGAUGGAGAUGAUGACGAAGAGCAGCAUGAGGAAGAGCAGCACGAUGGCGCAGAAGAGACCUUUGGAGCUGACCUGGACUGGAAUGAAACCAUUGACAGAGGACCACAGUAACCACGGGAAUGGGAGUCUGAAAUACACACAUGAAAUGAUCAGUAUCACCAAAUUAUGGAUUAAAUACAAGCAUCAUGUCAUAAGAUUAUUUCACAUUUCACAGGUGGGAGGGCAGAUGCAAAAAUUGUACGUACGUGUAAAAUAAUUUACAUCAAGUAGAGGUACAAAAUGGUGGUCAAGAGUAAUUGUAGUAUCUGGGCACUGCAUCUUAUAAUUUGAAAUGAAUUUAAUUGUAAAGACAAACAUUUUCAAA